rnacentral:rRNA from 1 species
AACGAACGCUUUCGGUAUGCUUAACACAUGCAAGUUGAACGGAUUAAUUUAGGGCUUGCUCUGAAUUAGUUAGUAGCAAACGGGUGAGUAACACGUGGGAAUCUACCCAUCAGUACGGAAUAACACUUAGAAAUAAAUGCUAAUACCGUAUAUUCUCUUCAGAGGAAAGAUUUAUCGCUGAUGGAUGAGCCCGCGUCAGAUUAGGUAGUUGGUAGGGUAAUGGCCUACCAAGCCAACGAUCUGUAGCUGAUCUGAGAGGAUGAUCAGCCACACUGGGACUGAGACACGGCCCAGACUCCUACGGGAGGCAGCAGUGGGGAAUAUUGGACAAUGGGCGAAAGCCUGAUCCAGCAAUGCCGAGUGGGUGACGAAGGCCUUAGGGUUGUAAAGCCCUUUUCAGCAGGGAAGAUAAUGACGGUACCUGACCAAGAAAGCCCCGGCUAACUCCGUGCCAGCCGCCGCGGUAAUAC